rnacentral:lncRNA from 1 species
UGUGUGCGUGUGUUUCAGAAUGUGUGUGUGUGUGUGAUUAAAAGAGGGGGAGGAUAAAUGGGAGUGUUGGGCUAGGGCUUAGUUUGGGGUUGUUGGGCUUGGGUUGGGCUUAGAGGUUUGGGCUUGAGGGACUUGGGCCGAGUAUUGGGCCUAUUUUUAAAUAGUUUUGGGCUGCGAUUUUUUUUAAAAAGCUUGGGCCGAUUUUUUUUAAUUUUAUUUAGCUGGGCCCGAUUCAUUUUAUUCAGUUUGGGCCAUUCCUAUUUUAUUGAGUUGGGCCUCAUCUUUUAAAUUUAUAUGGACUAUUAUUUAUUUAAGCAUGGGCUCUAUUUCAUCUAUAUAAAUGGCUUCCCUAUUUUAUUUAAUUAGACUAUUAAUUAGUUUGAUUAAUUAUUUUUAAAGACUUUGGAUUGCCUUCAAUUAAUUAAAUUGGGCUUUCUUAUUUUUAAUUAAUUGAAC